CCUACGGGCGGCAGCAGUGAGGAAUAUUGGUCAAUGGACGAGAGUCUGAACCAGCCAAGUAGCGUGAAGGAUGACUGCCCUAUGGGUUGUAAACUUCUUUUAUAUGGGAAUAAAACGUUCCACGUGUGGGAUUUUGUAUGUACCAUAUGAAUAAGGAUCGGCUAACUCCGUGCCAGCAGCCGCGGUAAUACGGAGGAUCCGAGCGUUAUCCGGAUUUAUUGGGUUUAAAGGGAGCGUAGGUGGAUUGUUAAGUCAGUUGUGAAAGUUUGCGGCUCAACCGUAGAAUUGCAGUUGAAACUGGCAGUCUUGAGUACAGUAGAGGUGGGCGGAAUUCGUGGUGUAGCGGUGAAAUGCUUAGAUAUCACGAAGAACUCCGAUUGCGAAGGCAGUUCACUGGACUGCAACUGACACUGAGGCUCGAAAGUGUGGGUAUCAAACAGGAUUAGAUACCCCUGUAGUC
rnacentral:rRNA from 1 species